rnacentral:rRNA from 1 species
GACGAACGCUGGCGGCGCGCUUAACACAUGCAAGUCGAGCGAAGCGGCGGACGGGUGAGUAACACGUGAGUAACCUGCCUUAGACAUUGGGAUAGCCUCGGGAAACCGGGAUUAAUACCAAAUGGUCUAAGAUGGACUCGCGUCCGAUUAGCUUGUUGGUGCGGUAACGGCCCAACAAGGCGACGAUUGGUAGCCGGCCUGGGAGGGUUAGCUGCCACAUUGAAACUGGUAAACGGUCCAAACUCUACGGGAGGCAGCAGUGGGGAAUAUUGCACAAUGGAGGGAACUAUGAUGCAGCGACGCCGCGUGAACGAAGAAGGCUUUCGAGUAGUAAAGUUCUUUUAUAUGGGAAGCGGUACCAUAAGAAAAAGCCCCGGCUAACUACGUGCCAGCAGCCGCGGUAAUUC